UCUGCCACAACUCCCUCUCUAGCACUCCGCCACGUCUCUCUCUAGCUCCGCCACGUCUCUCUCUCUCUCCACCACGUCUCUCUCUCUGCCACUUCUCCCUCUCUCUCUGCCACCUCUCCCUCUCUCCGCCACGACUCCCUCUCCGCCCGUCUCCCUGUCUCGCGCUCCGCCACGUCUCUCCCUCAGCGCACCAUCUCCUUUUCUCUCUCCGCCACGCCUCUCUCUCCUCCACGCCUCUCUCUCGCGCUCUGCCACGUCUCCUCUCUCUCUCCACCACGUCUCUCUCUCUGCCACUUCUCCUCCUCUCUCUGCCACGACUCCCCCUCUCCGCCCGUCUCCCUGUCUCGCGCUCCGCACGUCUCCCCCUCCAGCGCUCCACCCUCUCUCUCUCUCUGCCACUUCUCCCUCUCUCGCUCUGCCACUUCUCCCCCUCUCUCUGCCACACUUUGCUUCUCCAAGUUUCCCUCUCUCUCUCGAUCUCCGCCACGUCUCCCUCUCUCUCUCGCUCCGCCAAGUCUCCUUUUCUCUCGAGCCCGACCGUCUCCCUCUCUCUUCGAACACGUCUCCCUCUCUCUCUCGAACAGUCGUCUCCCUCUCUGGCGCUCGAACACGUCUCCCUCUCUGGCGCUCGAACACGUCUCCCUCUCUCGCGCCCCUUCACGUCUCCCUCUCUCUCUCGAACACACACAUCCAUCUCUCGCGCUCCGCCAAGUCUCCUUUUCUCUCACGCCCGACGCGUCUCCCUUUCUCUCUCGUGCCCUGUCACGUCUCCCUCUUUCUCUCACGCCCUGACACGUCUCCCUCUCUCUCUCGCACUCCGACCGUCCUUCUCUCUCGCUCCACCAAGUCUCCUUUUCUCUCGCGCACCGCCAAGUCUCCCUCUCUCUCACACCCAGCGUCUCUCUCUCUCUCUCACACACCCGGCGUCUCUCUCUCUCUCUCACACACCCGGCGUCUCUCUCUCUCUCUCUCUCACACCCAGCGUCUCUCUCUCUCACACCCAGCGUCUCUCUCUCUCACACACCCGGCGUCUCUCUCUCUCUCUCUCUCACCCGUCUCGUCUCUCUCUCUCUCUCACACCCGGCGUCUCUCUCUCUCUCUCUCACACCCGGCGUCUCGCUCUCUCUCUCACACCCGGCGUCUCGCUCUCUCUCUCACACCCGGCGUCUCGCUCUCUCUCUCACACACCCGGCGUCUCUCUCUCUCUCACACCCCACGUCUCUCUCUCUCUCACACCCAGCGUCUCUCUCUCUCUCACACCCAGCGUCUCUCUCUC
ensembl:lncRNA